rnacentral:rRNA from 1 species
GUGGGGAAUUUUGGACAAUGGGCGAAAGCCUGAUCCAGCCAUGCCGCGUGCAGGAUGAAGGCCUUCGGGUUGUAAACUGCUUUUGUACGGAACGAAAAGACUCCUUCUAAUAAAGGGGGUCCAUGACGGUACCGUAAGAAUAAGCACCGGCUAACUACGUGCCAGCAGCCGCGGUAAUACGUAGGGUGCAAGCGUUAAUCGGAAUUACUGGGCGUAAAGCGUGCGCAGGCGGUUAUAUAAGACAGAUGUGAAAUCCCCGGGCUCAACCUGGGAACUUCAUUUGUGACUGGAUAGCUAGAGUACGGUAGAGGGGAAUGGAAUUCCGCGUGUAGCAGUGAAAUGCGUAGAUAUGCGGAGGAACACCGAUGGCGAAGGCAAUCCCCUGGACCUGUACUGACGCUCAUGCACGAAAGCGUGGGGAGCAAACAGGAUUAGAAACCCCGGUAGUCC